AGGGCUAUAGCUCAAUGGUAUAGCACUUGUCUGGCAUGCAGGAUGUCCUAGGUUCAAUGCCCAGUACCUA
rnacentral:tRNA from 1 species